UACAGAGGAGGCCAAGCGUUGUCCGGAUUGACUGGGCGUAAAGCGCACGCAGGCGGCACCGCGCGUGGGGUGUGAAAGUCUGGCCGCUUAACGGCCAGGCGCCAUCCCAUACGGCGGAGCUGGAGUGAUGCAGAGGUCGAUGGAAUUGCCGGUGUAGUGGUGAAAUGCGUAGAUAUCAGGAGGAACACCUGCGGUGUAGACGGCUUACUGGACCAUAACUGACGCUGAGGCACGAAAGCGUGGGUAGCAAACAGG
rnacentral:rRNA from 1 species